rnacentral:rRNA from 1 species
CCUACGGGGGGCAGCAGUGAGGAAUAUUGGUCAAUGGGCGCGAGCCUGAACCAGCCAAGUCGCGUGAGGGAAGACGGUCCUAUGGAUUGUAAACCUCUUUUUUCUUUGAGCAAACCUCUCCACUAGUUGCGAAAUGAGAGUACCCGAAGAAAAAGCAUCGGCUAACUCCUUGCCAUCAGCCGCGGUAAUACUUAGGAUGCUCUCUUUAUCCGUCUUUAUUGUGUUUACCUGGUUCUUA